GGGGCCCUCUACACGGAGAAACAGCGCCUUAGGGAGAGGCUGGCCGUGUAGGAGGCGGAGGCAUCCUGCCGGCUUGCCGCACUCGAGGAUGAGAAGACUCGGGCGCUGGCCGGGCUAGAGGCGAAGAGGCACCGGCUGCUUGUCGAGCUCGGGUCCACGAAGGACAAGCUGCAGCAAGCGUCUCAUGAGCUGGGCGUGACCCAAAAUGCUUUGGCCACGGUGAACUUCCGGACGGGGGCCAUCCAAUCGACCCUUUCCGGCGCCCUGGAGCUGUUCUGCACCGCGCUGCGCGAGGUGGGGCUGGAGGUGCCACCCCAAAAGAUAACAGCGCGGCCAACCUCGCUGACCAGAUGGCGCAGCUAGCGAAGGCCUUCGCUGGCUUCUGGUCGGCCGUUGCCAACCACACCGUGCGGCAGUCCUAGGUAGGUGCAACGUAGGCAGUGGCACAGGUGCUGGCAAUCCUCAAGGCCUACUUCUAGGAGGUCGAUGCAAAGAUUCUCUGAGAGGGAUAACCGGAGGAGACCGAAGGAGAGGCCAACCAGCUUGUCGGGGCGAAGACCGGUCCCACUCCCACCAAGGAAUAUGUGGAUGAGAUGACCUUCGCGGCAUCUCCUUGAACUUUUCUUUAGUGUUUGCUGCAUCUUUCUGGACAAAGAACUUGUGCUUAUUUGGUUAAGGAGAUGUAUGUUUACUUGA